rnacentral:rRNA from 1 species
GACGAACGCUGGCGGCGGGCCUAAUAAAGGAAAGUAGAACGCAGUUGCGAACGGGUGAGUAACGAGUAGGUAACUGCCACAGAGCGGGGGAUAGCUAGGGGAAACGAUAGCUAAUACCGCAUACUGUGAGAUGGACCUGCGUUGUAUUAGCUAGUUAGUGGGGUAAAGGCUCACCAAGGCGACGAUACAUAGCCGACCUUAGAGGGUGAUCGGGCACACUCGGACUGAGACACGGCCCAGACUCCUACGGGAGGCAGCAGUAGGGAAUCGUCGGAAAUGGACGGAAGUCGUACUGAGCAACGCCGCGUGAGUGAAGAAGUUCUUCGGAUCAUAAAGCUCUGUUGUUUGAGAAGCGUUAACUACCCAGAAAGGGACGGCUAACUACGUGCCAGCAGCCGCGGUAAUAC